UACAGAGGUCCCAAGCGUUGUUCGGAUUCAUUGGGCGUAACGGGUGCGUAGGCGGCGCGGUAAGUCGGGUGUGAAAUCUCGGAGCUUAACUCCGAAACUGCAUUCGAUACUGCGGUGCUUGAGGACUGGAGAGGAGACUGGAAUUCAUGGUGUAGCAGUGAAAUGCGUAGAGAUCAUGAGGAAGACCAGUGGCGAAGGCGGGUCUCUGGACAGUUCCUGACGCUGAGGCACGAAGGCCAGGGGAGCAAACGGG
rnacentral:rRNA from 1 species